AUACUCUAGUACGGUAGGUGGCGGUAUGCAUCUAUAAGUUGGUAUUGCAAUCCGUCAAGAAGGAUAAUGUCAGUUUGUCUGGUCCAGCACUGAGUCUGUAUCAGUACAUCCAUGGUCUGGAUAAGUUUCUGUUUGGACUAUAACCAUUUAAUUUAUUAAAUCCUAAUCGUUUUAAUUGAUACGUUUGUCAGUUGAUACAUAAAUACAUGUAUAUCUAUGUAUGUAUGGUUCUCAAGAAAUAGUAAGCAAUCUGCGCGUUCAAAACACGCCUGUUUGGAACGACACUAGUACGAAGAAGAUGAAGAAAAAGAUCAGGAACUUAUCCUCAAUCGAUGAUGUUCCACAGCAAUAAGGAUUCUGUCCCUCAGAUUUGGAUGUGACAUCUCUCUUCAUCCCAAAUCUCAGUGAGAUGAUGUCUUCAGCUCAUCAAAACUGUCAACUUGAUCCACAAAAUGACUUUGAGAAGAAAACCUUUGACAGCUGCAACUUUGUUGGAAGUCGAGUUAAAACAGAUUGUACAGAGUUCAGUAGUACAUCCUGUCUGUCCUGCACUGAUGGAACCUACAUGAAUCAGCCCACUGGACUUAAACAGUGUUUCACCUGUGCAAACUGUGAUGCAGGUUCUGGUCUGCAGAUAAAGACAUCAUGUACAUCAACAUCAAAUACAGUUUGUCAACCACUGGAGGGAUUCUACUGUAUGGACUCCACAGAGGACAGCUGUGUGAAAGCACUGAAACACACAAGCUGUCAACCAGGACAAUACAUCAGACAAAAAGGAACCAGCGGAACUGAUACAGUGUGUGACGACUGUCAGCCGGGCUAAUUUUCACAGGAUGGUGUGAACUGCACAGCUUGGACAAUUUGCUCAGAAACUGAAGUGAUGGUCAAAGAAGGAAACCAGACAAAUGAUGUCGUCUGCAGAAGUGCAUCAAGAAAUCACUACUCUUUAUUUUCACCAUUGUUAAUGGUUUUCUCACUAACACUUGCCUGGCUUGUGAGCAGAGUUGAUGGAGAAAUUCUUGUACCCUUGUCACUUUUGAUGAAGAAUAAAGAUGAAGAAACUCCACAGGUUCCAGUUGAUGCUCUCAGAUGACCUCAGAUUUGAUUACUGACUAUUAAAAUGUACUUACACACUUACUUAUACCUGCAACUGACAUUAUGACUAUUAUAAUGAUGGGAUAUUACUGUUACUUCCAUUUAGGCUACUGUUGUUUUUAUUAAAAUGUCAUUACAUUGUUCCAGAUAUUAUCAUUUUAUUGUGAGGCUUUUUUAAACUUUUUCUAGUACUAUGAUUGGUUGCUCCUGAUUUUAUUUUUAUAGCCUGACAUCAGGUUUGUCUUCUUGCCUCUAGAAAGCAUUUUGUGCAUCUUGUUUGAAAUUAUUAAUUUUUUUCUUAUAUCUGCUCACCUCGACCUGCUGUUUGUAUUGCUAAAGUUAGUCUGCUAGGAUCUGUGGUUAUAUGUCACAACCCGUCUGCGGUCUCAAAAGCAUCUGAAGGCCAAUAAAUAUACACGAUUACUGUUCAAUAACCAAAUCUGGUCCUGUCUUCACCUUGUUGACUAGACAGUUGGGUGACUGUAUGUUCCAUCUUCGUCAGCCCUCCUCCCCCUCACCUUUCCGACAACGGAUAAAGGGGGGAGGGAGGCUGUGCGGAGGUGAGAGACCUCUCUCUCUCUCUCUAGCUCUCUCUUUUCAUUCACUUCUCAUGUGAACAGCUCAGUGGGCUGUAACAGUAGAGACUGGCGGACACAUACCCCCCCGCUCCAACGUGCGGGGGUGGGAAUCAUGCUAGGAAACAAGUAAAAGUAAAAGAAAAAGUAGCAUGAAGUAAAAGACUGUGAACGUCGGUGCUUCUGGGCCAUGUUCCUCAGUAACGAGGAUUCUGUCCCUCAGAUUUGGAUGUGACAUCUCUCUUCAUCCCAAAUCUCAGUGAGACGAUGUCUUCAGCUCAUCAAAACUGUCAACUUGCUCCACAAAAUGACUUUGAGAAGAAAACCUUUGACAGCUGCAACUUUGUUGAUAAUAAUACUGAAAGUCUUCAUCGGACAGAUCCUCACAUGUCAUCCAACAGAGUACCUAACAGAGGGAGGAUGCU